UCAGAGUCCAUGGGGAAAUCUAAGAUUCUUUUGAGAUUUUUAUUCCAAAAUCCUGGUCAGGAAUCUGGAGGUGGGAGAGUGUGGUUUCCUAUGGCAUACCAGAGGACUGCUGCAAGAGAAAAGAGGGAGUAUUCUUAUUUCAACUAAUUUGAAGAUGUGAAAAGGUUUGGUUUUGGUUUGAGGUCUAGGCUGAGAUUUAGAGGCAGUCUGCUUUUCCACAGACAUCAAAUUCCUGUUGAAGGGACCAUCAACCAGCAAAAUGGAGCAAAAAAAAAAAAAGACCUUGUUGUCACUUGAAAGGCACAACAUAUGGAUAAGGAAAUUUAACUUCAUCUAGUAAAAGAAGACUCCUAAGGCAAUGCAGAAACAUA